GAUGAACGCUGGCGGCGUGCCUAAUACAUGCAAGUCGAGCGAACAGAUGAGGAGCUUGCUCCUCUGACGUUAGCGGCGGACGGGUGAGUAACACGUGGAUAACCUACCUAUAAGACUGGGGUAACUUCGGGAAACCGGAGCUAAUACCGGAUAAUAUAUUGAACCGCAUGGUUCAAUAGUGAAAGACGGUUUUGCUGUCACUUAUAGAUGGAUCCGCGCCGCAUUAGCUAGUUGGUAAGGUAACGGCUUACCAAGGCAACGAUGCGUAGCCGACCUGAGAGGGUGAUCGGCCACACUGGAACUGAGACACGGUCCAGACUCCUACGGGAGGCAGCAGUAGGGAAUCUUCCGCAAUGGGCGAAAGCCUGACGGAGCAACGCCGCGUGAGUGAUGAAGGUCUUCGGAUCGUAAAACUCUGUUAUUAGGGAAGAACAAAUGUGUAAGUAACUAUGCACGUCUUGACGGUACCUAAUCAGAAAGCCACGGCUAACUACGUG
rnacentral:rRNA from 1 species